AACGAACGCUGGCGGCAUGCCUAACACAUGCAAGUCGAACGAGACCUUCGGGUCUAGUGGCGCACGGGUGCGUAACGCGUGGGAACCUGCCCUUAGGUUCGGAAUAACUCCCCGAAAGGGGUGCUAAUACCGGAUAAUGUCUUCGGACCAAAGAUUUAUCGCCUUUGGAUGGGCCCGCGUUGGAUUAGCUAGUUGGUAGGGUAAAAGCCUACCAAGGCGACGAUCCAUAGCUGGUCUGAGAGGAUGAUAAGCCACACUGGGACUGAGACACGGCCCAGACUCCUACGGGAGGCAGCAGUGGGGAAUAUUGGACGAUGGGCGAAAGCCUGAUCCAGCAAUGCCGCGUGAGUGAUGAAGGCCUUAGGGUUGUAAAGCUCUUUUACCCGGGAUGAUAAUGACAGUACCGGGAGAAUAAGCUCCGGCUAACUCCGUG
rnacentral:rRNA from 1 species